GAUGAACGCUGGCGGCGUGCCUAAUACAUGCCAGUCGAGCGAACGGACGAGAAGCUUGCUUUUCUGAUGUUAGCGGCGGACGGGUGAGUAACACGUGGAUAACCUACCUAUAAGACUGGGAUAACUUCGGGAAACCGGAGCUAAUACCGGAAAAUAUUUUGAACCGCAUGGUUCAAAAGUGAAAGACGGUCUUGCUGUCACUUAUAGAUGGAUCCGCGCUGCAUUAGCUAGUUGGUAAGGUAACGGCUUACCAAGGCAACGAUGCAUAGCCGACCUGAGAGGGUGAUCGGCCACACUGGAACUGAGACACGGUCCAGACUCCUACGGGAGGCAGCAGUAGGGAAUCUUCCGCAAUGGGCGAAAGCCUGACGGAGCAACGCCGCGUGAGUGAUGAAGGUCUUCGGAUCGUAAAACUCUGUUAUUAGGGAAGAACAUAUGUGUAAGUAACUGUGCACAUCUUGACGGUACCUAAUCAGAAAGCCACGGCUAACUACGU
rnacentral:rRNA from 1 species